GAUGAACGCUGGCGGCGUGCUUAACACAUGCAAGUCGAACGGAAAGGCUCCUGCUUGCAGGGGUACUCGAGUGGCGAACGGGUGAGUAACACGUGGGUGAUCUGCCCUGCACUUCGGGAUAAGCCUGGGAAACUGGGUCUAAUACCGGAUAGGACCACAUUUUGGAUGGUGUGGUGGAAAGUUUUUCGGUGUGGGAUGAGCUCGCGGCCUAUCAGCUUGUUGGUGGGGUAAUGGCCUACCAAGGCGUCGACGGGUAGCCGGCCUGAGAGGGUGUACGGCCACAUUGGGACUGAGAUACGGCCCAGACUCCUACGGGGGGCAGCAGUGGGGAAUAUUGCACAAUGGGCGCAAGCCUGAUGCAGCGACGCCGCGUGGGGGAUGACGGCCUUCGGGUUGUAAACUCCUUUCGCUAGGGACGAAGCGUUUUUGUGACGGUACCUGGAGAAGAAGCACCGGCUAACUACGUG
rnacentral:rRNA from 1 species